CGCCCACCUCGGCCUCCCAAAGUGCUGGGAUUACAGGCAUGAGCCACUGCCCGGCCUGUCCUUGCCCUAUUUAAGGCAAGCUCUUUCACUU
rnacentral:miRNA from 1 species